AUGUGCCACGCGGACAUUCCGGUUCCUGCGCGCCGCCGUCCGCACCCACCUGACGACUGCUCGCUACGUUUUGUUAGCC
rnacentral:sRNA from 1 species